GUGCUCAAUCCAGCGGUACAUAUACUGUGAUUGGAACAAUACAAAGAUUAGCACGGCCCCUGAGCAAGGAUGACAUGCAAAUUUGUGAAGCGUUCCAUAGUUUU